GAUGAACGCUGGCGGCGUGCCUAAUACAUGCAAGUCGAGCGAACGGACGAGAAGCUUGCUUCUCUGAUGUUAGCGGCGGACGGGUGAGUAACACGUGGAUAACCUACCUAUAAGACUGGGAUAACUUCGGGAAACCGGAGCUAAUACCGGAUAAUAUUUUGAACCGCAUGGUUCAAAAGUGAAAGACGGUCUUGCUGUCACUUAUAGAUGGAUCCGCGCUGCAUUAGCUAGUUGGUAAGGUAACGGCUUACCAAGGCAACGAUGCAUAGCCGACCUGAGAGGGUGACGGCCCACCCGGAAAGGGACAACGGUCCCAACCCCCUAGGGAGGGCAGAGGAGGGGAUCUUCCGCAAUGGGGGGAAAGCUGGCGGAGGAAAGGCGGGUGGGUGGAAAAGGGCUUUGGAUCGUAAAACCUUGUUUAUAGGGAAAAACAAUUUGUGAAGUAAAUUUGCACCUCUUGACGGUAACUAAUCAAAAAGCCCCGGCUAACUACGUG
rnacentral:rRNA from 1 species